AAGUCGUAACAAGGUCUCCGUAGGUGAACCUGCGGAAGGAUCAUUAAAAGAAUCUUGUUUCAGCAUCUCGAAAGAGUGCUGGAAUAAAUUCCCAACCCUUGUCUAUACAAAAAACAUAUUGUUGCUUCGGCGAGUCAAAGAAAGAAAAUAAAAGGAUUUAUUUCUUUUGCUCUCUUUUUUUCGCCAGAAGAAUUAAUUUUUAAAACUCUUGAUUUUAUACAUAAUCAUGUCUGAAAAUACUUUUUUUUGAGAUUGUUUCCUUUUAACUAAGAAGACCAAUCGAUAACAAAUUAUUACAA
rnacentral:misc_RNA from 1 species